CGGUGCUGACAUGAGUAGCGUUAAAGGGGGUGAAAAGCCCCCUCGCCGAAAGCGCAAGGUUUCCUACGCAACGUUCAUCGGCGUAGGGUGAGUCGGCCCCUAAGGCGAGGCAGAGAUGCGUAGCUGAUGGGAAACAGGUCAAUAUUCCUGUACCGAUAUGUAGUGCGAUGUGGGGACGGAGAAGGUUAACUCGGCCGGGUGUUGGAUGUCCCGGUUCAAGCGUGUAGUCAUACCCUUUAGGCAAAUCCGGAGGGUUUAGAUGAGGCGUGACAACGAAGGGGCUUGCCUCUGAAGUGAGUGAUACCCUGCUUCCAAGAAAAGCCACUAAGCUUCAGCUGCAUACGACCGUACCGCAAACCGACACUGGUGCGCGAGAUGAGUAUUCUAAGGCGCUUGAGAGAACUCUGGAGAAGGAACUCGGCAAAUUGACACCGUAACUUCGGAAGAAGGUGUGCCUUUAGUAGGUGAUCCAUUUACUUGGUGAGCCCAAUAAGGCCGCAGAGAAUCGGUGGCUGCAACUGUUUAUUAAAAACACAGCACUCUGCAAAGACGAAAGUCGACGUAUAGGGUGUGACUCCUGCCCGGUGCUGGAAGAUUAAAUGAUGCGGUGCAAGCUCUUGACUGAAGUCCCAGUAAACGGCGGCCGUAACAAUAACGGUCCUAAGGUAGCGAAAUUCCUUGUCGGGUAAGUUCCGACCUGCACGAAUGGAGUAAUGAUGGCCACACUGUCUCCUCCAGAGACUCAGCGAAGUUGAAAUGUUUGUGAUGAUGCAAUCUCCCCGCGGAAAGACGGAAAGACCCCAUGAACCUUUACUGUAGCUUUACAUUGGACUUUGAACAGAUCUGUGUAGAUAGGUGGGAGGCUUUGAAGCGAUGCCGCUAGGUGUCGUUGAGCCAACGUUGAAAUACCACCCUGGUGUGUUUGAGGUUCUAACCUUGGCCCGUUAUCCGGGUUGGGGACAGUGUAUGGUGGGCAGUUUGACUGGGGCGGUCUCCUCCCAAAGCGUAACGGAGGAGUUCGAAGGUACGCUAGGCACGGUCGGAAAUCGUGCUGAUAGUGCAUAGGCAUAAGCGUGCUUGACUGCGAGACUGACAAGUCGAGCAGGUACGAAAGUAGGACUAAGUGAUCCGGUGGUUCUGUAUGGAAGGGCCAUCGCUCAACGGAUAAAAGGUACUCUGGGGAUAACAGGCUGAUACCGCCCAAGAGUUCAUAUCGACGGCGGUGUUUGGCACCUCGAUGUCGGCUCAUCUCAUCCUGGGGCUGUAGCCGGUCCCAAGGGUAUGGCUGUUCGCCAUUUAAAGAGGUACGUGAGCUGGGUUUAAAACGUCGUGAGACAGUUUGGUCCCUAUCUUCCGUGGGCGCUGCAAGAUUGAGAGAGCCUGCUCCUAGUACGAGAGGACCGGAGUGGACGCACCUCUGGUGUAUCGGUUGUCACGCCAGUGGCAUUGCCGAGUAGCUAAGUGCGGAAGAGAUAACCGCUGAAAGCAUCUAAGCGGGAAACUCGUCUCAAGAUAAGUCUUGCCGGGGCCUUGAGCCCCCUGAAGAGUCGUUCGAGACCAGGACGUUGAUAGGCUGGGUGUGGAAGCGCAGUAAUGCGUUAAGCUAACCAGUACUAAUUGCUCGUGAGGCUUGACC
rnacentral:rRNA from 1 species